rnacentral:rRNA from 1 species
AGUAAAUAGAUACCCGGGUAGUCCUAGCCGUAAACGAUACUCGCUAGGUGUCGGCCACGGUGCGACCGUUGUCGGUGCCGUAGGGAAAGCCGUGAAGCGAGCCACCUGGGAAGUACGGCCGCAAGGCUGAAACUUAAAGGAAUUGGCGGGGGAGCACCACAACGGGUGGAGCUUGCGGUUUAAUUGGAUUCAACGCCGGAAAUCUUACCGGGACCGACAGCAACAUGAAGGCCAGGCUGAAGACUUUGCCGGAUUAGCUGAGAGGUGGUGCAUGGCCGUCGUCAGUUCGUACUGUGAAAGCAUCCUGUUAAGUCAGGCAACGAGCGAGACCCACGCCCACAGUUGCCAGCGUACUCUCUGGAGUGACGGGUACACUGUGGGGACCGCCGCUGCUAAAGCGGAGGAAGGAAUGGGCAACGGUAGGUCAGUAUGCCCCGAAUAUCCCGGGCUACACGCGAGCUACAAUGGUUGGUACAAUGGGUAUCUACCCCGAAAGGGGAUGGAAAUCUCCUAAAGCCAAUCUUAGUUCGGAUUGAGGGCUGCAACUCGCCCUC